rnacentral:lncRNA from 13 species
AUGGAGGGUGGGGGAAGUGAGGGAGGAGGGGAAGAGGAGAGGAGGGGAACCCCGCCACAGGAGGAGGAGAUGAACAGCCAGGUGGUGCUGACGAGGCAGCAGAGGACUCUGGCGUUACUGUGGUACCUGUGCAGGAGGGUGGAUCAGCAGAGCAGGCUGAGGCGGGGUCUGAUCACCCAGUGUCACAGUCAGGAGACAGUGGUACAGGUGCAGCCUUCAACCCCACCAGCAACUCAGGUCAGCCGUGUUUCAAUAAGAGGGAGUGAUAGAACAAUGGUGGAAAUUUUAACUGAUUUCUUUCAUCUUUGAAAUUGCGUUGAGCACAGUGACUUGUCAAGCACGGUAUCUGUUGAGGUUUGAUCACGAAACAUAUUUUUGGGGGUUCCAGAUAACGGAACGAUGCCCUUUCCACCUCACCCCUCAUUGCACCUCUCAGUCCCCCUCUCUGACAGUGAUGGGGACGAGUUACACAGGGCGGCGGAAGAGGAUGAUGGUGCAGAUGAGCUAAUCGUGCUGGACCCCUGAACACGUAAGCAGUUUCCCCGCUUAACAUCACUGAUAACAUUGUUUUAAUUACCUUAAGGUUUAAACCCUGUUAUGCUUAUCAGAUGAACGUCUUAGUAUGGCUUCUCCUAUCUGCCUGCAGCCGCUGAUGAGAAGGUUCCAGACUGCACCUCCAUAAGCAACUGGAGAGACUCAAUGUAGAGUUGCGAGAGAAGGUGCAGUAGGUCUCUUCUUCUGAAGCAAAGACUCUAAAUCCUUUCCAAUGGUUUACAAUCAAAUCAACAUGGACAUCCACUUUACAGUACACAUGCAGUACGAUUCAUACCAUUUAUGGGUCCCCGUUUUGAAUUCACUCUUUUCCCAGGAGAGGGCGCCAUUGACUUGUUUUGGCUCAAUCUCGAAACAUGACCCUGUGCUUUCAUUUCAAAAUACAAAAUAAACUAAUCUGCAACUAGAAAUGAUCUAUAAGCAACAACAAUUGAUUUACGAUGAAUCACUAUUGUUAUAACAUUAAGAAAUAUCCAUAGGUCUUGCAGUGCUUUUCUAAUGCAUAUGUAAUUCUGACCCCAAGCUAUCCUCUCUUUCCCUCCCCUCCUCCACCCAUCUCCCUAGAUGGCUAUUUAGACCGCAGGCCCAGCGCCAACAGGCCCAGGAUCAGCUAGAGCGGGUCCGAAGCCAGUACCGCACAAGCCAGGCCGGCAAGCAGAGGUCACACCGUGAGACCCAUAGAGAUAUAACCACCGAUCAAGCAACAUUAUGCACUUAUUUUGCUGUGAUAAUAUAGGUCAAAUUAAGAUCCUAUAUGUGUACUAUGGCUUGGGCCAGGAGUUUUUCUUGACCUAAUCAAGGAAAAAAUCAGUACCCUAACCUAGUUAUAAUAGUCCAUAACGGUCACCUAAAGGUUUUCCUGGUCAGGUGACAUAGUCAGGAAAAACUCCUGUCCCUAACUACGUCUAUCACCUCCUUUCUCAGUGUCCCAGCUGCAGAGUGAGGUAGAGAACCUGGCACUGCGUCUGUUCUACAUGCAGGUGGUUAACGCCGACCUGCACUCCGACAUUACGGCCAUGAAGAACACCUCGCGCAAGCCCCACUCCGAGAAGACCCAGGCAGAAACACACCUGAUUCAAGAUCAGCCAAAUGGCAUGUUAGUUCUAAUGUUAACCUUUCUGGGCCAAACAGCAAAACUGUUCCUGGACCAGUUGCUAAGGGUCUAGAAAUAGAAUUUAAAAUCAUUCUUAUUACUAUGGCUGAAUCUUCUCUCUCUCUCUCUACCCCCCUAUCAAUUCAAUUUCAAUUCAAUUUAAGGGUUUUUUUGGCAUGGGAAACAUGUUAACAUUGCUAAAGCAAGUGAAAAAUCAAUGAACAAAAGUUGAAUAAACAACAACAAUUUUCAGUAAACAUUACACUCACAGAAGUUCCAAAAGAAUAAAGACAUGUCAAAUGCCAUUAUGUACUGUAUACUGUAUACUCUAUAUACUUGACAGUGUUGUAAAGUACGAAAGGGAAAAUAAAUCAACAUAAAUAUGGGUUGUAUUUACAAUGGUGCUAGUUCUAUACUGGUUGCCCUUUUCCUAUGGCAACAAGUCACAAAUCUUGCUGUUGUGAUGGCACACUGUGAUAUUUCACCCAGUAGAUAUGGGGGUUUUGUGUAUCUGUGUAAUCUGAGGGAAAUACGUGUCUCUAAUAUGGGUCAUAUAUUUGGCAGGAGGUCAGGAAGUGCAAUUCAGUUUCCACCUCAUUUUGUGGGCGGUGUGCACAUAGCCUGUCUUCAUUUGAGAGCCAGGUCUGCCUACGACAGCCUUUCUCAAUAGCAAGGCUAUGUUCACUGAGUCUGUACAUAGUCAAAGCUUUCCUUAAGUUUGGGUCAGUCACAGUGGUCAGGUAUUCUGCCACUGUGUACUCUCUGUUUAGGGCCAUGGAGCAUUCUAGUUUGCUCAGUUUUUUUGUUAAUUAUUUGACACAUUGGAAAUAAUUAUCUUUUUGUUUUCUCAUGAUUUGGUUGGGUCUAAUUAUGUUGCUGUCCUGGAGCUCUGUGGGGUCUGUUUGUGAACAGAGCCCCAGGACCAGCUUGCUUAGGGGACUCUUCUCCAGGUUCAUCUCUCUGAAGGUGAUGGCUUCGUAAUGGAAGGUUUGAGAAUCCUUUUAGGUGGUUGUAGAAUUGAACUGCUCGUUUCUGGAUUUGAUAAUUAGAGGGUAUCGGCCUAAUUCUCCUCUGCAUAUGCAUUAUUUGGUGUUUGACGUUGAACACAUAGGAUAUUUUUCCAGAAUUCAGCACGCAGAGUCUCAAUUUGGUGUUUGUCCCAUUUUGUUCUUGGUUGGUGAGUGGAGGGCUAUGGGUUCUAUAACUGAUUCUCCCUCUCUCUACCCCCCUCUCUCUAACCGGAUCACCAAGCAUGUCACCGUCAUCGAGCGCAAGCAGGCCACCAUCAACGUUUACAACAAGAAGAUUGAGCAGCUCGUCGCCAGCACUGGGGUGAGAGUUAACUUACAACCAAGCACUGACCAGUAACCAGCUGAAUAUUUUGGGGUUAUUGUCUAAUAAUAAACGACUAUAGGUGCUGAAUCAAAAAUAAGUGGCACCU